GUUACACUUUUCGAUAAUAUUUUUUAAUUUGUAACUUUUAAUUUUGUGUUGUGCUGUACGCUUUCUAUUUUGUGCGUGUUGAAACAAAGGUAGUGGAUAUGAUGUCAUUUUCAUGAUUUAUUAUCCUUGGAAACAUGAGUGUUAGUGUUGAGAAGUCCAGUCCUUUAUUGGAAGGGACCAACCCAGCGUUGGACCAUGCCAUAUCUAAGUCCUCAUCAGACAGUGUGAGCCUAAACAAAAAUGGUGAACGUGAUUUUAAAUCUCAAGAAAACGGGGAGAAAUCAGAACCCACUACCCCGAAAUUACACCCAAUGGCCUUUACCAUUGAUUUUGGCGAUUCUAAACAGAUAGACAAUAAAAGACUUGAAAAUUUAGCUAAGAAAUCGCAAGCUCGACAUCAGAGGGUACAAUCUAUGUCUGCCAGUCUAACAAGACCUAGUCCAACCGUUCAGAAACCUCCAAUGAGCGCUAAAUUGCCGCGCAAAGCGCAAGGCUAUAAUUCGGAAGGUUACUUCUCGUCAGACCAGGAAGACAGUGGUUUGUCCGGAUCUGUAAAAUUAAGAAGCAGUCCAUUAGCCCAAAAUUCCCAAAUAACAAGUCCAGUUUCAACAAGACAUAUCAGAUCGCCUAAUAAUGAUGCUUUCCAGCCUAAACGUACGUCCAAGAGUCCAAUUGUAGAUAGCAUUAUGUCUAGAAGUGACAAUUUUACUGCACGUCAAGGGCUAAACUUGCCAUUGAAGAAAGCUAAUAGUUCCUUUAUGAGAGAUGUCUAUAGGAGUCCAAGUUACGGUACUUUGUAUCAACCAAAACAGAUGGAUAUUAUAGAUCAGAGUCCUGAAGCAAUAAUGCUCACAGAUAUUUCAAGUCCUGAAUUAGACAUUUUAACACCAGAUAAUGGUUUGUCUACUCCGGAACAUAAUAAAAGUCCUUUAAUGAGAAAAGUUAGAGCGUCAUCGGAAACUCCUGACUUAUUAUUUCAAAGCUACACUCCUAAAGUCGAAUCACUGUAUAUUCAUGAUGAUGUAGACAGAGAGUCAAAUAACUCUUCUACUGGGACAUAUACAAUCGAAGGUGACAAUUACACAGAAGAACAGAAAGCGAGGAUGAGUAUUGAUCGAACAUUUGGAACUGAUCUUUUAGACGGUGCUAUCGAAGACACAUUGAAGAGACAUUCAUUGAGUAAGGAAAGGGACCCUGAAUUAAUAUUUGACUUCUCUAACCAUGUUAUUACCAAGGAACCAAGACGAGAUCUAACUCUCCGCAGUCCACUUACAAGUAACUCAACAUUUGAUAUACCAAAACAGAAAGACAGGAAUGUUCUCGAAAUUUCCUGUUGCUACGAAUCGCCAACUGAAAAUGACCUAGCGGUACAAACUUCCAAACAAAUAAAAUCAACCAGAAGCUAUUUAGAGAAAAUAAAGAACAGAGUACGUACAAUUACAGAGAAAACUUUUCCAAAAUCUCCACCAAAAGCGCUGUCUGAUCCUGAUUAUGGUAAUUUCACAUCUGUUACUACCUCAGGUGUUUUAAGUUCUAAAUAUACUUCUAAACCUGAUGUUAGAAUCCCUCCAAGAAGACGUAGCAGUUUAGCAAAAUCAGAAAUAGACCAAACAGAUUAUGUACACCGUUUAUCUAGAGAAUCGUCUGUACCGGUGUCUCUAAUAGGCAGCAAACCGCUAAUAUUUGAGGAUACACAUUUUGAAAGCACAGCUCUAAAGUCUGCUCAAAAAGCAUUGAGAGAUGACAGUGGGGUUUCUUCUGAUAUAACUCCAGAACAAGUUGUAGGUCAACUGUCUUACUUGAGUCUAAACCGUUGCAAAGGUGAUAAAACUUGGAUUCAUGACUGGGCGGAGAGUGUAAAAAAGUAUAAUAACAAUUCAUUGUGUCCUACAAGUUCAAGUACAACAUUUACCGUGGAAAAUGAAAGGCCGCCAAUGAGUCCCAGACAUGUUACAAAUCCACGCAGCCCGCAUGCAAGCACACCGACGAAAAUACCAAGUCCUGUUGGUACUUUACUUCGCAGAAGGACUCCGGAUCUUAUACCAACUCAAGACACAGAAGCGUACCUUCUAAAAACACAAAACGCAAUUACAAAUUUGCAAGCAAAACUCCAGUCUUCUCGAACAACCAACUUCGGGAACUCACCACUUACGUCCAGUCUCAUAAGCGAGAAAACAGCCGCAUCAAAACUUCCCUUAGCACAACUUAGUAGGUCCAACUCACUUAACUACAGAUUACGUAGAAAAGAUAACUCUGGGGACAGCAGUCCUUUAAGAAGUCCUGGACAUUACGUCAUUACUGGUUCCAGUAAACUUCCCGAAAGCACUAAGAUAUUCCUAAACUCGGCUUCAAAGUCUUUAGACCAAGAUAGAAGGAAAGAUCUCAACAUGAACAGUCCGAAUUCAGAAAGAGGGUUACUGAGCAAUAGCUCCGACGAUAAAACACUAUCAAAUAGACCGCAAUAUGAUGUAGAUGCGAUAUUGUCGCCACAUAAAAAAAGUCACGCGCGACAUAAAUCUUUUGACGGUAGAACCACUGAAUUUGACUUUAAUAAUGCUAAUCAAACGGUAUGUCUCAAGACUGUGUUAAAGAAUAACGCUUUGGAAACGAAAUACUCUAGAAUCGAACCAACACGUUGCGUGGAUACAAAGAAACACCAGAGAGUUUCCAGUGAUAGCAACAGUAAGAAACUUAAUGCAUUCGGUUGUACGAUAAAGCGAUCAAGUUCCUCUAACAUGGUUCAUAAGAAUAAUAAUUAUUUGGAACCUAUCAGAGUUACCGCUAGAAGAUCGAGUGGUAAUUCUGAUUAUAAAGAUUAUUCGGACGAAUCGGAAACCGAUUACGAGAAAUCGGAAAGACAUAAACGUCCGUUACAUAGAGGUAGAAUCGAUUCUCAAGAUUUGAAAUCUAUAGCUCCGGCUAAUUCUCCGAGAUGUCCGAGUACACCGGAAAUGCAGAGGAAAUUCGGACCAGGAUUGGUUAGAAACUCAGUCAGAGUGACCAAUAAGGAACGAAGCGUUAAUACUAGAAUGUCCGAACCACCAAUGGCAAGAGAGGAAAGAAAGCCUGUUGGUCAUCAGAGUCGUAAGAUUUCGGAGCCUACUAGGCAAGCUGUUUUGAAUAGGCUUACUAAAUCUAGGUCUUCUACGAGGGAAUUUACGCCUAAAAACCUGGAAAAAGGAGCCAAAAAACCAAGUCAACACCGUUCAUCAUCGGCUCUAGCAACGAAAGAGAUAGAGUUCUCAAACUGGAAGAAGCGAGCGUCUUACGAUCCUAUGAAAGCCGCGCGGGAGGGAAGGAGACAGCAAAUGGCGAAACGACUGGAGUGUAACAAAGAUGACCAGAGUUCUCCCAGCCAUUCAUCCCCAGUUCAUCGUUCCCAGUCAUUCCACACGACGAACAUCGCAGAUCUGACCUUGGACUACUCCUCAGAAGAAAUGGAAGAGGAUCAAACCCUACCUAUAGACCCGAUGAUCACGUCAACACAUUCUGAUAUUUUGGACUUGAGAUCGAAAGCAGACGAGCUGAGACCGCGGGACUUGAGAAGACAGGCCAUGACCAACGAUGUAGUGCUUUCGAGAGAUUAUGUUACUAAUUUCCAAAUAAACCAGCCUACAGACAAAGCAAAGCGACGUGAAGUGGACAAAAGAAAAACGUUCAUCAUAGACGACAUAACGCCUACCAAAGAGAACAUAGACUUUCUGACGAAACGCGACGAGACCAUAGACAAGAGGAAAACUUUCAUUUUGGAUAGCGACACGAAUUCUACUACUAAUGGGAGUAGUCCUCGAAAUUCUUCUAUUUUUAGUCAUGAGAAGACGUCGCUAACUACGGGUACAAGCGAUACGGAAGGCGAAAGCGGCACAGAAAGCGCACCUGUCGUAAUGCGACACCCGUCCGGCAAACGACCGCCUGCGCAGCCCAAACAGAGGUACAGCGGUGAUUACUCAAUGUCAUCGUCAACCACCUCCAUAAGCCAGAAAAAGACAAAAGAAAUCCAGCCGCGCUACCUAGAUAUAUCUAAAUACAAAAACGAAAGCUCUCCAAAGAAUUUCCUGCGUCGCGAUCCGAGCAAAACCUACGUCAACGUGUUGGGAGAACGCCCCAGCAAGGGUAGUGCUAGACAACAUGAGAUGGAACAAAAGAAACAGGAAUUAGAGAAGUGGAAACGAAGGGCGUCAUACGAUCCGAGAAAAGCUGCGGCGCUUGGCAAAACCGCGAAAGUGCCUGCGAAAACCGCCAGAGCGUGACAGAUGUCAAAUGCAUGCAAUUCUGGCUAAAUGUCACUGAAAGGCGGCCAUCUUGUUUUGUAAGUAGCGUACUCCGAUCUCAGUCAUUCCACGGGCCGGAAUUGACAACAAGUUUCCGCUACCAGCCGCCAUCGCAAAUCGCCGAGAGCUACGACGCAUCUAGCGACAACGACUUUUGAACGACACCACGACGGUGCUUGUGAUAUCGUGUGUUGAGUAUGAGUUGCGAGUGAGUUGUGAAUGGCAAAUGGUAGCGCUGCUGGUGUUGCUAUUUUGAUGAUUUUAUUUCAAAGUCGCGCGUAAAAAAAUGUUGCUGUUUUAAAACACGUGAGAUUGUAAAAAUGCUAUGGCUAAAAAUUUUCUUAAAUUUUGAACACAUCGAAUAUUAGGUACUGAAAAAGUUUUAUUUCCUUUACAAUAACAAUAAAAUCAUAAAAAUACAAAACCAGUAGAAAUUAGUAUAGUUUUAUAAAGAGUUCAGCGACUUUGGAUACAGGUCCUUGUAAUUUAAAUAAGAUUUCUAAAGUAGGAUUCGAAAACGGAGACUUUUGCCAUUUUAAAAGUUUAAUGAGAUUUUGUAGCGCUUGAAAACAAAUGUAAAUUUUUUUGAAGCUUAAGAAGGUAAUUAGCAGACAUUGUAAAAAGUAUGUGUCGAAUUAUUUUGCAGUAACUUUCCGAGAAAGAAGCAAUUUUCUGUAGUGAUAUUGGCUUAAGGAUAAGUUUUUUGUUAUCAGUGCCCGUACGGAUUAAAACUGUUGCUUUAUGAUAAGAAAAAUUAAAAUGUCAUAUUUGACACUAAAUUUGGCGCCAAAUUAAAGGAUUUUAAGUACAUACGUGUGCAAUUGUUUAUUUUGUACACGAAAAGAAGAGUCAUAUUUUAAUUAUUUUGACGAUUAGUUUCUAUUAUGGACUUGGGUCGAUGCAAUUUUUAAUUAAAUGUGAUUUUUGAAAUAAGAUUAAUUUUUUCAACUUCGCACAAGUUUUAUUUUUAGUGGAAGUUUAUUUUCAACUUUAAGAACAUACACGAAUGGAUGCGUUCAAAAUAACAAAUUCCUUUUUUAAUCUCAUUUGAAAUUAAAAAUGAAUAAUUAUUCGAAUAAAUAAAUGUGAUUUUAUGUAUUAUUCGCAUUAAUUUAGAAACUCUGUAAUCGAAAUAUAGUUAAUGAUUUAUUUUUAAGUUAUGUUUCUAUAAUCCUUUAUGUUUAACUGCUGACUGUUAAAUUUGAACCCUCGAUAUCGCGGGAUUAAUUAAAACAAUUUUUUUAGUACAAGAAAUUAGUCAAAGUAAAAAGAAACUACCGCCAUUUCGGGGUUCAACUAUAACUGGUUAGUUUAUGAUUCGUAUAGUUAUUACAUAUCCACUUAUUAAAAUUAUAAAAUAAUGAAAUCGUCAUACUUUGCUCAUGUCGUCCAAACAUCGAUAUGUCUUGUGUAAUAUUUUAGUCAUAUAAUUUUCUAGUUAUUUAGUUUUACAUUAUAUUAACGUGCAAUAAAUUUUAUAUAAAAUUAUUUUGUCAAUUCAUAUAUGAAAUAAGAAGCCGGAAAUUAUUCGCAUAAUCUGCCGUCCACUAACUAAAACGUGGUUAAGUGACAAAUGGUCAAAUAUCCGUUUUAAAUAGCAAAAGAUAGAGCACAAAAUUCUCCCAAAACAGUUAAAAUUAGUUAACGUAUUCGAUUUGUCGGCACUUAGCCUAACGAUGCAUAACUGAAAUAACAUUAAACAAUUUCAAUAUUAUAAAACUGGGUUAUGGUUUUUGUGAUAUUUAAAAAAACUUCGAUUAGCCAUUUGAUUUCAAUUAGUUAGCGGAUGGCAGUAAUGCAAACAUGCCAGCGUCUCAAAAUCCGGACCUAUUUAUACACUGUCAGAAAAAUAAAGAUUAGUUAUUAAUAGAAAAAUUAUAAAAUCCGGAAUAAAGCUUUUGCUGAUUCGUGAUUUUUUUCAAGUUUUUUGGUACGCGAACAAACAAAAUAAAAUAUUGCUAUUUUUAUAUGUUAGCAGUUUAAGAAUUAUAUACUGUUGUAAUGUUC